rnacentral:rRNA from 1 species
ACCGAAUAGAUACCCGGGUAGUCCACGCCCUAAACGAUGCGAACUGGAUGUUGGGUACAUUACGGUACUCAGUGUCGAAAGCUAAACGCGUUAAGUUCGCCGCCUGGGGAGUACGGUCGCAAGACUGAAACUCAAAGGAAUUGACGGGGGCCCGGCACAAGCGGUGGAGUAUGUGGUUUAAUUCGAUGCAACGCGAAGAACCUUACCUGGCCUUGACAUCUGUCGAAUCCUGCAGAGAUGCGGGAGUGCCGCAAGGAACGACAAGACAGGUGCUGCAUGGCUGUCGUCAGCUCGUGUCGUGAGAUGUUGGGUUAAGUCCCGCAACGAGCGCAACCCUUGUCCCUAGUUGCCAACACGUAAUGGUGGGAACUCUAGGGAGACUGCCGGUGACAAACCGGAGGAAGGUGGGGUAUGACGUCAAGUCCUCAUGGCCCGUUA